AUUGAACGCUGGCGGCAGGCUUAACACAUGCAAGUCGAACGGUAACAGGCCGCAAGGUGCUGACGAGUGGCGAACGGGUGAGUAAUGCAUCGGAACGUACCCAGUCGUGGGGGAUAACUGCUCGAAAGAGCAGCUAAUACCGCAUACGACCGGAGGGUGAAAGCGGGGGACCGUAAGGCCUCGCGCGAUUGGAGCGGCCGAUGUCGGAUUAGCUAGUUGGUGGGGUAAAGGCCUACCAAGGCAACGAUCUGUAGUUGGUCUGAGAGGACGACCAGCCACACUGGGACUGAGACACGGCCCAGACUCCUACGGGAGGCAGCAGUGGGGAAUUUUGGACAAUGGGCGCAAGCCUGAUCCAGCAAUGCCGCGUGCAGGAAGAAGGCCUUCGGGUUGUAAACUGCUUUUGUCAGGGAAGAAAUCUUCUGGGCUAAUACCCCGGGAGGAUGACGGUACCUGAAGAAUAAGCACCGGCUAACUACGUGCCAGCCGCCGCUGUAACAC
rnacentral:rRNA from 1 species